AUUGAACGCUGGCGGCAUGCUUUACACAUGCAAGUCGAACGGACACACGGGCUUCGGCCUGCCGGGGCGUGACCAACGGGUGGGUAAUAAACCGGAAGGUGCCCUGCCGUGGGGAAUGGGUUAGCUACAGGAGACUUAAUCCCGUACCCGACAAUAGGUUGAACCGGGGGGAUCUUCGGACCACGCCGUUUUUGCUGGGACUUUGGCAGGUUAGCUAGUUGGUGGGGUAAAGGCGUACCAAGGCGACGAUCUGUAGCUGGUCUGAGAGGACGACCCGCCACACUGGGACUGAGACACGGCCCAGACUCCUACGGGAGGCAGCAGUGGGGAAUUUUGGGCAAUGGGCGAAAGCCUGAUCCAGCAAUGCCGCGUGUGUGAUGAAGGCCUUCGGAUUGUAAAGCACUUUUGGCGGGAACGAAAAGGACUGUGCCAAUACAACGGUUCGAUGACGGUACCCGCAGAAUAAGCACCGGCUAACUACGUG
rnacentral:rRNA from 1 species